rnacentral:rRNA from 1 species
GGAGGAUCCGAGCGUUAUCCGGAUUUAUUGGGUUUGAAGGGAGCGUAGAUGGAUGUUUAAGUCAGUUGUGAAAGUUUGCGGCUCAACCGUAAAAUUGCAGUUGAUACUGGAUGUCUUGAGUGCAGUUGAGGCAGGCGGAAUUCGUGGUGUAGCGGUGAAAUGCUUAGAUAUCACGAAGAACUCCGAUCGCGAAGGCAUUGUGCCGGGGCAGCACUGACGCUGAGGCUCGAAAGUGCGGGUAUCAAACAGGAUUAGAUACCCUGGUAGUCCGCACGGUAAACGAUGAAUGCUCGCUAUGGGCGAUACAAUGUCCGUGGCCAAGCGAAAGCGUUAAGCAUUCCACCUGGGGAGU